rnacentral:lncRNA from 1 species
AGCGACCUCUCCAUGUCGCUCUGGCCAGGUCGCUCCAGGAUGUGUGUCACAGCGACUUCACGGCGUCGCUCCGGUGAGGUUGCUCUGGUGCACUGCUCGUCCGUUGAUCGCUUUAAACACUUCUUUUGAGCUCCAAAUGCACCCAAAUGCCUCCAAGAACUCCAUGUGGUACUCCAACACCUGAUAAAGACUCAUGUAUGCAAAAUGCAACCUAAACGUUGCUAAAUCCUAGUCUAUAUGAUCAAAAUACACAUGGGUGAAUGGAUAAGACAAUAGAAACAUGCAAGAUAUCAUUCAUUUACUGCAAUAUUUAUGGAAGCCAAGUUUAAUCCAUUGACCAUUUCCUUCUCAAUAGGAGUUUGUAUUCCCAUAUUACUCCAGUGGUCAAA